GGGUUGUGAGGUUAAGCGACUAAGCGUACACGGUGGAUGCCCUGGCAGUCAGAGGCGAUGAAGGACGUGCUAAUCUGCGAAAAGCGUCGGUAAGGUGAUAUGAACCGUUAUAGCCGGCGAUGUCCGAAUGGGGAAACCCAGUGUGAUUCGUCACACUAUCGUUAACUGAAUACAUAGGUUAACGAGGCGAACCGGGGGAACUGAAACAUCUAAGUACCCCGAGGAAAAGAAAUCAACCGAGAUUCCCCCAGUAGCGGCGAGCGAACGGGGAGCAGCCCAGAGUCUGAAUCAGCUUGUGUGUUAGUGGAACGGUCUGGAAAGUCCGACGGUACAGGGUGAUAGUCCCGUACACCAAAAUGCACAGGUUGUGAACUCGAAGAGUAGGGCGGGACACGUGGUAUCCUGUCUGAAUAUGGGGGGACCAUCCUCCAAGGCUAAAUACUCCUGACUGACCGAUAGUGAACCAGUACCGUGAGGGAAAGGCGAAAAGAACCCCGGCGAGGGGAGUGAAAAAGAACCUGAAACCGUGUACGUACAAGCAGUGGGAGCACCUUCGGGUGUGACUGCGUACCUUUUGUAUAAUGGGUCAGCGACUUAUAUUCUGUAGCAAGGUUAACCGUAUAGGGGAGCCGCAGGGAAACCGAGUCUUAACUGGGCGUUAAGUUGCAGGGUAUAGACCCGAAACCCGGUGAUCUAGCCAUGGGCAGGUUGAAGGUUGGGUAACACUAACUGGAGGACCGAACCGACUAAUGUUGAAAAAUUAGCGGAUGACUUGUGGCUGGGGGUGAAAGGCCAAUCAAACCGGGAGAUAGCUGGUUCUCCCCGAAAGCUAUUUAGGUAGCGCCUCGUGAACUCAUCUUCGGGGGUAGAGCACUGUUUCGGCUAGGGGGUCAUCCCGACUUACCAACCCGAUGCAAACUACGAAUACCGAAGAAUGUUAUCACGGGAGACACACGGCGGGUGCUAACGUCCGUCGUGAAGAGGGAAACAACCCAGACCGCCAGCUAAGGUCCCAAAGUCACAGUUAAGUGGGAAACGAUGUGGGAAGGCACAGACAGCCAGGAUGUUGGCUUAGAAGCAGCCAUCAUUUAAAGAAAGCGUAAUAGCUCACUGGUCGAGUCGGCCUGCGCGGAAGAUGUAACGGGGCUAAACUGUGCACCGAAGCUGCGGCAGCGACACUAUGUGUUGUUGGGUAGGGGAGCGUUCUGUAAGCCUGCGAAGGUGGCCUGUGAGGGUUGCUGGAGGUAUCAGAAGUGCGAAUGCUGACAUAAGUAACGAUAAUGCGGGUGAAAAGCCCGCACGCCGGAAGACCAAGGGUUCCUGUCCAACGUUAAUCGGGGCAGGGUGAGUCGACCCCUAAGGCGAGGCCGAAAGGCGUAGUCGAUGGGAAACAGGUUAAUAUUCCUGUACUUGGUGUUACUGCGAAGGGGGGACGGAGAAGGCUAUGUUAGCCGGGCGACGGUUGUCCCGGUUUAAGCAUGUAGGCGGAGGUUCCAGGUAAAUCCGGUACCUUAUUAACGCUGAGGUGUGAUGACGAGGCACUACGGUGCUGAAGUAACAAAUGCCCUGCUUCCAGGAAAAGCCUCUAAGCAUCAGGUAACAUCAAAUCGUACCCCAAACCGACACAGGUGGUCAGGUAGAGAAUACCAAGGCGCUUGAGAGAACUCGGGUGAAGGAACUAGGCAAAAUGGUGCCGUAACUUCGGGAGAAGGCACGCUGAUAUGUAGGUGAAGCCCCUGCGGGUGGAGCUGAAAUCAGUCGAAGAUACCAGCUGGCUGCAACUGUUUAUUAAAAACACAGCACUGUGCAAACACGAAAGUGGACGUAUACGGUGUGACGCCUGCCCGGUGCCGGAAGGUUAAUUGAUGGGGUUAUCCGUAAGGAGAAGCUCUUGAUCGAAGCCCCGGUAAACGGCGGCCGUAACUAUAACGGUCCUAAGGUAGCGAAAUUCCUUGUCGGGUAAGUUCCGACCUGCACGAAUGGCGUAAUGAUGGCCAGGCUGUCUCCACCCGAGACUCAGUGAAAUUGAACUCGCUGUGAAGAUGCAGUGUACCCGCGGCAAGACGGAAAGACCCCGUGAACCUUUACUAUAGCUUGACACUGAACAUUGAGCCUUGAUGUGUAGGAUAGGUGGGAGGCUUUGAAGCGUGGACGCCAGUCUGCGUGGAGCCAACCUUGAAAUACCACCCUUUAAUGUUUGAUGUUCUAACGUUGGCCCCUGACCGGGGUUGCGGACAGUGUCUGGUGGGUAGUUUGACUGGGGCGGUCUCCUCCCAAAGAGUAACGGAGGAGCACGAAGGUUAGCUAAUCCUGGUCGGACAUCAGGAGGUUAGUGCAAUGGCAUAAGCUAGCUUGACUGCGAGCGUGACGGCGCGAGCAGGUGCGAAAGCAGGUCAUAGUGAUCCGGUGGUUCUGAAUGGAAGGGCCAUCGCUCAACGGAUAAAAGGUACUCCGGGGAUAACAGGCUGAUACCGCCCAAGAGUUCAUAUCGACGGCGGUGUUUGGCACCUCGAUGUCGGCUCAUCACAUCCUGGGGCUGAAGUAGGUCCCAAGGGUAUGGCUGUUCGCCAUUUAAAGUGGUACGCGAGCUGGGUUUAGAACGUCGUGAGACAGUUCGGUCCCUAUCUGCCGUGGGCGCUGGAGAAUUGAGGGGGGCUGCUCCUAGUACGAGAGGACCGGAGUGGACGCAUCACUGGUGUUCGGGUUGUCAUGCCAAUGGCAUUGCCCGGUAGCUAAAUGCGGAAGAGAUAAGUGCUGAAAGCAUCUAAGCACGAAACUUGCCCCGAGAUGAGUUCUCCCUGAGACUUUAAGUCUCCUGAAGGAACGUUAAAGACGAUGACGUUGAUAGGUCGGGUGUGUAAGCGUAGCGAUACGUUGAGCUAACCGAUACUAAUGAACCGUGAGGCUUAACCUUACAACGCCGAAGCUGUU
rnacentral:rRNA from 1 species